rnacentral:rRNA from 1 species
GUGGGGAAUUUUGGACAAUGGGCGCAAGCCUGAUCCAACAAUGCCGCGUGCAGGAAGAAGGCCUUCGGGUUGUAAACUGCUUUUGUACGGAACGAAACGGUCCUGGCUAAUAUCCGGGGCUAAUGACGGUACCGUAAGAAUAAGCACCGGCUAACUACGUGCCAGCAGCCGCGGUAAUACGUAGGGUGCAAGCGUUAAUCGGAAUUACUGGGCGUAAAGCGUGCGCAGGCGGUUUUGUAAGACAGGCGUGAAAUCCCCGGGCUCAACCUGGGAAUGGCGCUUGUGACUGCAAAGCUGGAGUGCGGCAGAGGGGGAUGGAAUUCCGCGUGUAGCAGUGAAAUGCGUAGAUAUGCGGAGGAACACCGAUGGCGAAGGCAAUCCCCUGGGCCUGCACUGACGCUCAUGCACGAAAGCGUGGGGAGCAAACAGGAUUAGAAACCCGUGUAGUCC